rnacentral:tRNA from 1 species
GACUUCGUAGUGUAGUGGUCAGCACACUCGACUCGUAUUCAAGAGGUCCCUGGUUCGAGUCCCGCCGAGGGCG